UCGGGAUCUAGAGAGCGGCGCACGGGUGCGGAACACGUGUGCAACCUACCUUUAUCAGGGGGAUAGCCUUUCGAAAGGAAGAUUAAUACCCCAUAAUAUAUUAGAUGGCAUCAUUUGAUAUUGAAAACUCCGGUGGAUAGAGAUGGGCACGCGCAAGAUUAGAUAGUUGGUGAGGUAACGGCUCACCAAGUCAAUGAUCUUUAGGGGGCCUGAGAGGGUGAUCCCCCACACUGGUACUGAGACACGGACCAGACUCCUACGGGAGGCAGCAGUGAGGAAUAUUGGACAAUGGGUGAGAGCCUGAUCCAGCCAUCCCGCGUGAAGGAUGACGGCCCUAUGGGUUGUAAACUUCUUUUGUAUAGGGAUAAACCUACCCUCGUGAGGGUAGCUGAAGGUACUAUACGAAUAAGCACCGGCUAACUCCGUGCCAGCAGCCGCGGUAAUACGGAGGGUGCAAGCGUUAUCCGGAUUUAUUGGGUUUAAAGGGUCCGUAGGCGGACUCGUAAGUCAGUGGUGAAAUCUCAUAGCUUAACUAUGAAACUGCCAUUGAUACUGCGGGUCUUGAGUAAGGUAGAGGUAGCUGGAAUAAGUAGUGUAGCGGUGAAAUGCAUAGAUAUUACUUAGAACACCAAUUGCGAAGGCAGGUUACCAUGUCUUAACUGACGCUGAUGGACGAAAGCGUGGGGAGCGAACAGGAUUAGAUACCCUGGUAGUCCACGCCGUAAACGAUGCUAACUCGUUUUUGGGUUUUCGGAUUCAGAGACUAAGCGAAAGUGAUAAGUUAGCCACCUGGGGAGUACGAACGCAAGUUUGAAACUCAAAGGAAUUGACGGGGCCCGCACAAGCGGUGGAUUAUGUGGUUUAAUUCGAUGAUACGCGAGGAACCUUACCAAGGCUUAAUGGGAAAUGACAGCUUAGAAAUAGCUUUCUCGACAUUUUCAGUGCUGCAUGUGUCGUCAGCUCGUGCGUGAGUGUAGGUAGUCUGCACGAGCGCA
rnacentral:rRNA from 1 species